GACGAACGCUGGCGGCGUGCCUAAUACAUGCAAGUUGAGCGCUGAAGGUUGGUACUUGUACCAACUGGAUGAGCAGCGAACGGGUGAGUAACGCGUGGGGAAUCUGCCUUUGAGCGGGGGACAACAUUUGGAAACGAAUGCUAAUACCGCAUAAAAACUUUAAACACAAGUUUUAAGUUUGAAAGAUGCAAUUGCAUCACUCAAAGAUGAUCCCGCGUUGUAUUAGCUAGUUGGUGAGGUAAAGGCUCACCAAGGCGAUGAUACAUAGCCGACCUGAGAGGGUGAUCGGCCAGAAUGGGACUGAGACACGGCCCAAACUCCUACGGGAGGCAGCAGUAGGGAAUCUUCGGCAAUGGACGAAAGUCUGACCGAGCAACGCCGCGUGAGUGAAGAAUGUUUUCGGAUCGUAAAGCUCUGUUGGUAGAGAAGAACGUUGGUGAGAGUGGAAAGCUCAUCAAGUGACGGUAACUACCCAGAAAGGGACGGCUAACUACGUG
rnacentral:rRNA from 1 species